CCCUCUGUGUUUUCGAUUCUACUACUGCAAAGACAGAACAAAAUAUCAAUCGUGGCUUGAUGUUCGAUCUAAGAUUCUCUUUCAAAUGCGACCAGGUUUCCAAUCUAGCCUUCCUUUUUGAACCCCAAUUGAUGAUAUUCAGACGACUUUUACAUAAUCUUGAUGCAUCCUCCGAUUUUGAAUUUAGUUUUUUCUGUAUCCAAAAUUAAGUUUGAGUCUAAAAUCAAAUUACAUCAAACAAAAAAUUGAUGCACAAUUGGAUCAACAUUACAGGUACUUAUAUGACGUAAAACAACAGGUAAUGGACGAUGUGGAUUGAUCCUGGAAAUUGGUCAUACAUAAUACACGGACCAAGCACAAUGAUGCGACAAUCCAUAGUUACUCAAACAAUUUCUCCGUUUACAAAACAAUUUGGUGCAAUUGGGUUUUUAUUUUCAGUAAUUCCAUUGAGUUACAAGUUUUUACAAGCUUGAGCAAUGCAGAUUUGGGAUACUAAAAACUUCUGCAGUCCAGUGAUGUGUUUUGGGUCAAAGUUAAAGGGCAAGGUUGCAAAGGUUGGAAAAAGGAAAAUGGUUCCAGAUUUUGAUUUUGUUCUCCCCAUCUUACCAUUUGCUUUUUUGGCAUGGACUCUGUAAUAUUAUGGUUUGGAUAUAUGCUGACCAAACCGCUGCAGGAAAUGCUGAUAGUGCAGUGAUGGAUCAUAUUGUAAUACAAUUGUUUUAUUA